rnacentral:rRNA from 1 species
GACGAACGCUGGCGGCGUGCUUAACACAUGCAAGUCGAACGGUGAAGCUCCACCUUUCUGGGGUGGAUCAGUGGCGAACGGGUGAGUAACACGUGAGCAACCUGCCCCUUACUUUGGGAUAAGCGCUGGAAACGGCUUCUAAUACUGGAUACGCGCUGGGUCCCCCUUGGCAGUUUGUGGAAAGUGUUUCGGUUGGGGAUGGGCUGCCCGCCGCUCAGCUUGUUGGUGGGGGAGUGACUCACGAAGGCGACGACGGGUAGCCGGCCUGCGAAGGUGACGGGCCACACUGGGACUGAGAUCCGGCCGAGAGUACUAGGGGAGGCAGCAGUGGAGAGUGUUGAACAAUGGGCGAGAGACUGAUGGAGCGAGGUCGCGUGAGGGAUGACGGGCUUCGGGUUGUAACCCGCUUUCGGCAGGAAAGAAGUGAAAGUGACGGUAGCUGGAGAAGAAGCGCCGGCUAACUACGUG